rnacentral:tRNA from 1 species
GCCUGGGUGGCUCAGUUGGUUAAGCGUCCGACUUCGGCUCAGGUCAUGAUCUCACAGUUUGUGGGUUCGAGCCCCACGUCAGGCU